AUUGAACGCUGGCGGCAGGCCUAACACAUGCAAGUCGAGCGGAUGAAGGUAGCUUGCUACCUGAUUCAGCGGCGGACGGGUGAGUAAUGCCUAGGAAUCUGCCUGGUAGUGGGGGACAACGUUUCGAAAGGAACGCUAAUACCGCAUACGUCCUACGGGAGCAAGUGGGGGAUCUUCGGACCUCACGCUAUCAGAUGAGCCUAGGUACGAUUAGCUAGUUGGUGAGGUAAAGGCUCACCAAGGCGACGAUCGUUAACUGGUCUGAGAGGAUGAUCAGUCACACUGGAACUGAGACACGGUCCAGACUCCUACGGGAGGCAGCAGUGGGGAAUAUUGGACAAUGGGCGAAAGCCUGAUCCAGCCAUGCCGCGUGUGUGAAGAAGGUCUUCGGAUUGUAAAGCACUUUAAGUUGGGAGGAAGGGCAGUAAGUUAAUACCUUGCUGUUUUGACGUUACCGACAGAAUAAGCACCGGCUAACUUCGUGCCAGCAGCCGCCGUAACAC
rnacentral:rRNA from 1 species